rnacentral:rRNA from 1 species
UGUCUUUUUGAAAAUAAUAUAAAGUCUAAUCUGCCCACUGAUAAAUAUUGAAGGGCUGCAGUAUAUUGACUGUACAAAGGUAGCAUAAUCAUUAGUCAUUUAAUUGAUGACUUGUAUGAAAGAUUGGAUGAAAUAUAAACUGUCUCUUAAUUAUAAAUAGAAUUUAAUUUUUUUAUUAAAAAGUUAAAAUAAUUUAAAAAGACGAGAAGACCCUAUAGAGUUUUAUAAUUAAAAUAAUUAAUAUUAUUUGUUAAAUUAAGGUUGAAAUUAUUUUAUUUAUUGUAUUGGGGUGAUAAAAAAAUAUAUAUAACUUUUUUUAAAUAAAAACAUUUAUAAGUGAUUAAUUGAUCCAAUAUUAUUGAUUAUAAGAAAAAAUUACCUUAGGGAUAACAGCGUAAUUUUUUUUUUUAGUUCACAUAAUAAAAAGAGUUUGCGACCUCGAUGUUGGAUUAAGAUAAAAUUUAAAUGCAGAAG